AGGGAUCUUUCUGUUUUCCUGCACUGGGUUGGUCCAUCACCUGAACCAGCUGGUUGUAGAUGUCAAUGAACUGACGAGCAGAAACCGGCCCACCAGUGCUGGGACGCUCCAGUAUGUCCACAGGGAACACUCCUCCAACACAGGAAUCCGGGUGGCGGCGAAUACCUCAGACUGCUGUGUGCGCUCCAUGGGCACGUUUCCCUGCAGUAGCAGGGGCUCACUGUACAGCUUUGCCGCUGCCCAAAGUAGAGCGGCUGCCCUCCCCACUUGGGUACAUUUGUUUUCUUUUGACGGAGGAAGAACAACAGGGAGGGCAGUGGAGGUUGGCAGGGGCUCAGUGCAAGACAGCAGACUUCUCUUGAACUGAUUAGUCACCCAAUUCUCUUGGCCUGAAGCCCCAGCGGACAACUUGUCCUGGGCCUCUUCAAGCAGAUCCCUCUGCUGUUCCAACGUACUUUUGAACUCUGGGUAAAGGUCAGGACCUAAAGUGAGCUGCAGGACACGGCUCACUUCUUGCAAGGUGACAUCCAAGUCUGGGAGAGGGUAGUUGAGAAGGGUCAUCCUGUUGAUGUGGAGGAGACUUGAGUGGAAGAAAAGAAAACAAAUUCACUGUUAUUACCUGGGUUUGUAUUGAAAGUGCUCAUUGAUAGAAUUGAAAAUAUAAAGUUGAAAGGAUUCACUCCGUGCAGCAUGUAAAAUGUUAAAUAUAACGGAAAUGACAUUGCAGCGUGUAGGUGGGGCAAGUCUUGAGUGAAUUGGUUAAUGGAGACGACUUUGUGACUUUUGAGUUGAUAUUUUGCCGUGCUUUUAGCCGUGUGAGCGCUGGCAGUGUUAGAAUUUGCCAUGAAUAUUCAAUUGAAUUUAUUUUAUUUUCUCUAGCCCAAAAUCUAUAGCUCUAUGUAUUUUUAUUUUAUUUCGAGGGCGACCUGGCCAAGAAGGCAGCAGCAUGUAUAAAAAUUUGCCUCAUAGGGCUUUACAGUCUGUACACAUACAACAUCCUCUGUCCUGAAACCUUCACAUUGGCACAGCAAAAAAUUCCCCCAAAAAGGAAGAACCCCUCAAUGGGGAUAAAAAAGGGGAGAAACCUGGAUGGACAGACUGCGAUGGAUGUCAUGUGUUGAACAGCUUAAAAGAUGAACGUUACGUUCACCUUUUAUGACAAAUGAUUCAAAUAUAAAUAUGAUGGUCUUAAACCCUAAUCCCCACUGGUUUCUGUGGAUGGUGGUUGUCACUGCACUGGUCCUGCCAUACACUUGUCUUAAUACUCUCAAUAUUUGAAUCAGUUCUGUCAUAGGAAUUUUAUCCUCUCUCUCCAGUUUAUAGACUUUAGGUCAUGUUUAAUUGGGAUCUUUCAACAAGAUCUAUGAUCUUAAGAAGGGAGGAACAGUAAUUACAUUACAUUACAUGUCAUUUAGCUGACGCUUUUAUCCAAAGCGACUUAAGUGCAUUCAACCAUAGGGUACAAACUCAGAAGAACAAGAAACAAGAAAGUGAGGACCUUUUUUUAGAGCUGUCAACAUAAACACAUUAAAUCUAUGGGCCAAGAUUAAUGCAAACAAUAUUAGUUAACAUACUUUUAGUAAUAGUUUUGAAAUACAUUUUAGUCAAAUUUUAAAUUUAAAUUUAAUUUUGAGAUUUGCAAGAAAUAUUUUAAUUGCUGCGUUUUUUAAGGGAAUAUUCAACAAGCUCCUGUUUUUUAAGUAAUUAAAGUAAUUGCAUAAAUAGUCAUGUGAUUAAUUUUGAUUCCAACUUGUAUUUGUUGCCCAGCACUAGUAUAUACUAUUUAUAUAAAUAGUAUAUAUAUAUAUAUAUAUACAUAUUAUCAAUUAUCAACCACUCAAGUGAAGUCCUUUCAUUUCCCCAUUUGUUCUCAGACUCUUCAACAGUGACGCACAAUCACACCCACACAUGCAUGUGCACACACGCAAGUAAAGCAUUUGACCUUUCAUUACCCGUUGAUCCUGCAAUGUCUCUUUUUUGCCCUCAGGCUUCUUCUCAUCGUAGAGCAAUCUCUACUUUCAGUAUUACACACACACAUCCCUGAACACGCACUCACGCACACACACACACGCACGCACACGCACGCACACACACACGCACAUACCAACUCAAGUAAAUAUUUUAGCAUUUAUGCCUUUUCAUUUCUUGGAACUCAGAUUUGCUGUGUUGGCUUUCUUGCCUUCAAACAGCAGCAACAUAUUAUUUAGCAGAAUAUGAUAAAUGUAUCGUGAUGUAUGGUUAAAAUGUCAAGCGCCAGUGGCGACAGGUCCAGCACCUGUCUAACACCUUCUGGGACAGAUGGCGAAAGCAAUAUCUCCCGACACUACAGGCACGUAAGAAGUGGCAUUCCGCUCAUCCAAACAUCAGCCCAGGAAGUGUUGUUAUCCUCAAGGAUAGUCAAGCACCAAGAAAUGAAUGGCCUCUUGGACUGGUAACACAGGCGUUCCCCAGCGAGGACGGGAAGG